AUAUAUCAGGUUCCUAGCAGUAUUGGUGAGUUUGCUGGCUUGAAAGUCCCUCUGGAACACAUCCACAACUUGGAUGGGUCAUUCAGUCCUUUGUUCAGAGCUUUGUUUGUAGAAAGGUUACUCCAGAGGUAACAAGCAGGAAUGAAGACGAGAAGCAGAAGCAAAAGACAAAAUGAAGA